rnacentral:rRNA from 1 species
GGAGUUAGCCGGUGCUUCUUCUGUGAGUGAUGUCCUUCCUGCCGGCUAUUAACCCGCAGGCCUUCUUCCUCACUGAAAGUGCUUUACAACCCGAAGGCCUUCUUCACACACGCGGCAUGGCUGGAUCAGGGUUGCCCCCAUUGUCCAAUAUUCCCCACUGCUGCCUCCCGUAGGAGUCUGGGCCGUGUCUCAGUCCCAGUGUGGCUGAUCAUCCUCUCAGACCAGCUACGGAUCGUCGCCUUGGUGAGCCGUUACCUCACCAACCAGCUAAUCCGACAUAGGCUCAUCCGAUAGCGCGAGGCCCGAAGGUCCCCCGCUUUCCCCCGUAGGGCGUAUGCGGUAUUAGCCUGGGUUUCCCCAGGUUAUCCCCCACUACCGGGCAGAUUCCUAUGCAUUACUCACCCGUCCGCCGCUCGCCACCAGGGAGCAAGCUCCCCGUGCUGCCGCUCGACUUGCAUGUGUUAGGCCUGCCGCCAGCGUUCAAUCUGAGCCAGAAUCGAAACCUGACUACGAGCGGCGGUCGCGACGACGCG